rnacentral:pre_miRNA from 1 species
UGUCAUGCAUCUGCAUCUGCACCUGCACCACAAUGUGAUCGCGGCGAUCUCUGUUCCGGAGGUUCAGCCCGGUAGUUUUACAUGCGGCCCUGCAUUCAGCGCUGGCAUCUUCCGUGGACAAGUUUCGUAGCUCACAUUCCGAUGGUGCAGUGCUUAUGCAGAAGCGUUGC